UGGGGAAUAUUGCACAAUGGAGGGAACUCUGAUGCAGCGACGCCGCGUGAACGAAGAAGGCUUUCGAGUCGUAAAGUUCUUUUAUAUGGGAAGAUAAUGACGGUACCAUAAGAAAAAGCUCCGGCUAACUACGUGCCAGCAGCCGCGGUAAUACGUAGGGGGCUAGCGUUGUCCGGAAUCACUGGGCGUAAAGCGAGCGCAGGCGGUUAGAAAAGUCUGAAGUGAAAGGCAGUGGCUCAACCAUUGUAGGCUUUGGAAACUGUUUAACUAGAGUGCAGAAGGGGAGAGUGGAAUUCCAUGUGUAGCGGUGAAAUGCGUAGAUAUAUGGAGGAACACCGGUGGCGAAAGCGGCUCUCUGGGCUGUAACUGACGCUGAGGCUCGAAAGCGUGGGGAGCGAACAGG
rnacentral:rRNA from 1 species